rnacentral:lncRNA from 1 species
GGAGGAGGGUGGGCAUGAGGCGGUAGCGGACCGCGGAGUCCAGACCUACCCGAACGACGCGGGCGAGCGGGGCUUUGGACGCCGGUGGAGACGCAGGCGAGCAGGAAGAAGAUGAGCCGUAAGUCUGAACGCCAAGGAAUUCAUGUGGAUCCUGUGCAAGAAAGGAUGUGGUUACUGUGGCAAUCCUACCUGGCAGGGUUUCUGCUCCAAGUGCUGGAGGGAAGAGUAGCACAAAGCCAGGCAGAAGCAGAUUCAGGAGGACUGGGAGCUGGUGGAACGACUCCAGCGGGAGGAAGAAGAGGCCUUUGCCAGCAGUCAGAGCAGCCAAGGGGCCCAAUCCUUCAUAUUCUCCAAGUUUGAAGGAAAGAAAACCAACAAGAAGACCUGCAAGGUUACCACAGUGAAGAAAUCUUCAGUACGUCUUCCAGGGUCAGAUCAAAGAAGGAUAUCAUUGAAAUGGAUUCCAGGCGUGUGCCUCGAGACAAGCUGGCCUGCAUCACCAAGUGCAGCAAGCACAUCUUCAAUGCCAUCAAGAUCACCUAGAACGAGCCGGCGUCAGCAGAUGACUUCCUCCCCACCCUCAUCUACAUUGUUUUGAAGGGCAACCCCCCACGCCUUCAGUCUAAUAUCCAGUAUAUCACGCGCUUCUGCAAUCCAAGCCGACUGAUGACUGGAGAGGAUGGCUACUAUUUCACCAAUCUGGUGAGUAAGUGAGUUCUUGGCGUUGUGGAGAAGGACUAGGAAGGUGGUGGUUUUGGGGAUGUGAUAGGUCACUCAGGCCCGUGACAGGUGAAUGCUUCUGUGUGAGAAAGCAGCACGGCUGAGGAAGCUCACUUUGUAUCAGGGAGCCCAAAGACCAGGCCGUACAGACACUCCGCCUCCCAGCACUUGAUCAGAGAUUGUGUUCAUCCUACGGAAACAGAUGACAUGUGUUGGGCAUCACUCCCCACGGUCCUGGGUAGAAGAGUCCUUCACUUGGCAGGGCUUUUUCAACCAUGAAUAAGGCAAAUUAUAUAUAAGUUAAUAAUGCCAUUUCGAACCGAGACAGAUGGCAGCUAAAUGAAGUUUAAUUAAAGAAUGAGUGCUGGGGCCCUUUUUACUGGGUACUGCAUCUACUUUGACCACAAAAGACGAAGUGACCCCAACUUCAAGAACAGGCUUUGAGAUGGAAGAAAGAAACAGAAGCUUGCCAAGGAGAGAGCUGGGCUUUCCAAGUUACCUGACCUUAAAGAUGCUGAAGCUGUUCAGAAGUUCUUCCUUGAAGAAAUACAGCUUGGUGAAGAGUUACUAGCUCAAGGUGAAUAUGAGAAGGGCAUAGACCAUCUGACAAAUGGAAUUGCUGUGUGUGGACAGCCACAGCAGUUACUGCAGGCCUUACAGCAAACUCUUCCACCACCAGUGUUCCAGAUGCUUUUGACUAAGCUCCCAACAAUUAGAGAAUUCUAAGUGCUCAGAGCUUGGCUGAAGAUGAUGUGGAAUAAGAAACAAAUGUCAACAUAAUAAAAUCUCAGUUAAAAAUAUUUUAAAAAUUCUUGGUAGUUGAGCAGCUCUGGGGGAAUAAGGGCAAAUAUCCUUGUUAUGAACUAUACUGAAAUCUACCAAAGUUAAUGUUUACUUUGUGUAGGUCCAUUUGUCUAUUUUAUUUAUUUUUCCCAGUGAAAAGUGUAUUUUGAUAGAGA